rnacentral:rRNA from 1 species
GGAGGAUCCAAGCGUUAUCCGGAAUCAUUGGGUUUAAAGGGUCCGUAGGCGGUUUAAUAAGUCAGUGGUGAAAGCCCAUCGCUUAACGAUGGAACGGCCAUUGAUACUGUUAGACUUGAAUUAUUGGGAAGUAACUAGAAUAUGUAGUGUAGCGGUGAAAUGCUUAGAUAUUACAUGGAAUACCAAUUGCGAAGGCAGGUUACUACCAAUAUAUUGACGCUGAUGGACGAAAGCGUGGGGAGCGAACAGGAUUAGAUACCCUGGUAGUCCACGCCGUAAACGAUGGAUACUAGCUGUUCGGAGCAAUCUGAGUGGCUAAGCGAAAGUGAUAAGUAUCCCACCUGGGGAGUACGUUCGCAAGAAUG